rnacentral:rRNA from 1 species
CCUACGGGUGGCAGCAGUGAGGAAUAUUGGUCAAUGGCCGUAAGGCUGAACCAGCCAAGUAGCGUGAGGGACGACUGCCCUAUGGGUUGUAAACCUCUUUUAUGCGGGGAUAAAGUUGUCCACGUGUGGAUGUUUGCAGGUACCUCAUGAAUAAGGACCGGCUAAUUCCGUGCCAGCAGCCGCGGUAAUACGGAAGGUCCGGGCGUUAUCCGGAUUUAUUGGGUUUAAAGGGAGCGUAGGCCGGUCUUUAAGCGAGCCGUGAAAUUUUGGGGCUCAACCCUGAGAGUGCGGUGGAAACUGGAGACCUUGAGUGCGCGGGAGGCAGGCGGAAUUCGUGGAGUAGCGGUGAAAUGCUUAGAUAUCACGAAGAACCCCGAUUGCGAAGGCAGCUUGCCGCAGCGUUACUGACGCUGAAGCUCGAAAGCGGGGGUAUCGAACAGGAUUAGAUACCCCUGUAGUC